rnacentral:lncRNA from 1 species
UGUUGUUUUUCUAACAAACUUUUGUUUGUUUUGCAGGUGAUAUAAAAAUCCUACUAAAGUAAUUCCCAAAUCCGUGAUUUCUUGUCUUUCCAUCAUAAUUGUAUUUUAUGUACUGGUUAAUGUAUCCUAUCUGGUAGUUUUGACACCAAAGGAAAUUACGACUUCAGAUUCUGUUGCUAUCACAUGGGUAAACAGAGCAUAUCCUUCCAUGAAAUGGGUUAUUUCUUUGGGGAUCUCCUUCUCAUCGUUGUCAAGCACUGCCUGUAUAAUACUUUCAGCAUCAAGGAUUUUCUACUCUGCAAGCCAAGAAGGACAGAUGCCGCUCAUCUUCUCAAUGCUUAAUGACCAUCACAGUCCUAUUGUAGCUGUCACUCAAGUUGUCAUUUUAUCUACAAUUUCAAUAAUAAGUUCAAACUUAACCAGUUUGAUAAAAUAUAUAGGACUAAUAAACAUUUUCAAUGAAGUACUAUGUAUGAUAGCUUUACUUAAACUGAGGUAUCAGAAGCCAGCUCUUCCUAGGCCUUAUAAGGUAAAUCAAAAUGCUAACAUUAUGUUUUUACCUACCUUACUUGAAUAAUAUUGAAUUAGUAGAAAUGUUAUUUUAUACGUGUAUAUCCUU